GGUGGCUCAUGCCUGUAAUCCCAGCACUUUGGGAGGCUGAGGUGGGUGGAUCAUGAGGUCAGUAGUUCAAGACCAGCCUGGCCAAGAUGGUGAAACCCUGUCUCUACUGAAAAUACAAAAAAAUUUAGCUGGGCCUAGUGGUGGGUGCCUGUAAUCCCCGCUACUCAGGAGGCUGAGGCAGAGAAUUGCUUAAACCCGGGAGGUGGAAGGUGCAGUGAGCCAAGAUCACUCCAGCCUGGGCAACUGAACAAGACUCUAUCUCAAAACAAAACAAAAAAAAUAGCAUUUCAGGAGAGACAGUAGGGAUGGUGCUACCACUCAAGAUGCAGAGAUGGUGAUCUCUAUCAUAUUUCUGUUUGAUUCACUUGGCUGAUUCCUUCAGCAACUGUUGAAGUAUGUCUGAAGACUAUUGUAAACUUAAUCAAAUGGUAACCUCAAUCAUAGCUGCUGUUCUGGAUGUGGUAUUGCUGCCAGAACAGAAGAUCACACUGAUUUGUUAUGUUGAUAGCAUCGUGCUGAUUAAACAAGAUGCUCAACGAGUGGCUACAGUGCUGGAGGCUUUGGUAAGACACAUGAGCUGUUACUUCAGUGAAGUUUCUAGGAAUCCAGUGGUCAGGGGCCUGUCAGGAUAAUCCCUCAAAAGUGAAGGACAAAUUGCUGCAUCCUGAAUACAUUUUUACAAAGAAGAAAACAAAGCAACUGGUAGGCCUCCCUGGGUUCUAAAGGCAGCAUAUUUUACACACGUGAUUCUCAAUGUGCAGGGGCAGGGGAGCAAUUUGGGUCCCCAGGGAACAUCUGGCCAUAUUUGGAGACAUUUUUUAUUGUCAUAAUUGAGUACGUCACUGAUAUCUAGUGAGUAGAGGUCAGAAACACUGCUAAACAUUCUAUCAUGCACAGAAAACCCCCUCUAUCCCCACAACAAAGAAUUAUCCAACCCAAUAUGUCAAUAGUGCCAAAGUUGAGAAACCCUAGGUAAUAUUUUGAUGUAUAUUGGUUUUCAUUCACAUUUUCUGGCUCAUAACUCCCAUAACCCUUGUUACAAUCUUUUGUUAGAUUAAGGAUGUUAAGACUGAGGGUCAGGUCUCUGCCCUCCUGCCCUCCUUUCUCUCUAAUGUUCCCCAUCCUUUUUAAUUCAGGGUCCCACUCUAUACCCUGGGUAAGGAAUGCUGAUGUCAUAAAGCUUGUGUAAAAACCCAAGAGGACCAGGUUCAGGGAGCUUCCCAAUAGAUGAAAACAUGGAGGUUCCUGGAGGGUGGCACACCCAGGGAGAGCAUGGUAACUCCACAUCCCUUCCCCCAUUCCUCGCCCUACACAUCUCUUCAUCUGCAUCUUUUGUGAUGUCCUUUAUAAUAAACCAGUAAACAUAAGUAAGGGUUUCCCUGAG
rnacentral:lncRNA from 13 species